rnacentral:lncRNA from 1 species
CAAAGGGGUCAUGGGAAGGAGCUGAGGCUUGACACUGUAAGAGGCCAGGAGAGUCCACUGGUGAAGGUUCAGCUUCAGUGUCAGUUGAUCAUCGAGGACUGAAAGGGAUGUGGCAAAGAAGUUGAGGCUUAGCACCUUGAAGAACAUCUAUGAGAGAUGACUAGUUAAAGUUCAGCCCAUGUGCACCAGAAGACAUCAUUAUUUUGGAUAGAUGCAAGUACCAUGGGGGUAACCACCAAGACCUUAAGAAGCAGUGGAGUGGAGUCAGCCUAGAAGAAAAGCUUUGUGUGCUACAGAGGGUAGAGCUGGAGAAAUGACACAAAAUUCUCCAGUCUUCUUUGGAGAGACCCAGAAGAUUGUGUUGAUCCCAGACUUAGGACAUUGAGUUAAUUAUACUGAAGAAGCCUAGUUUUGUUUGGCUCAGAUUAUGACUGUGCCCUGGUUCUUUCUUCUUAAAGAAGGUUCCAGUCCUGCUUGAGUCCUGUCCUGACAGCCUCUAUUGAUCAACUAUGUUCUGGAAGUGUAAGCAGGUAUUUAGUUCCAGUGCAUGGACCUUGUUUUGUCAUACCACAGUGUUGACUCAUCUCAAGCAUACAGUUCUACGGGAAUGACCUUUGGACUGCAGUUCUACAAUGUUGACCUUUCCUCUGCAGUUUCACGGUGAUGACUUUGGGUCUGCAUUUUUAAGACCUUGGGUCUAUUACAGCAAAGUGUUCACCACAGGCUAACAUGGACAACCUUUGAGCAUCUUCAUGACAAUGGUGCUAUAUGUAUGAAAACGUCUGAAAGAAAAUAUCCUUUCUACAUUUUGUUCUUCCAGCAGCUUUGCCAACUUUAUGCGUACCCUUUGAAUUUCAUUCUUCCUUCUUUCCAUGUUUAAUUAUAGUUUUUAUUUAGAAAAACAUAGCUUCUGAUUAUGUUCUACACUGACACUUAGAGAAGUUUGGUCCAGUUCAUCAUCUCUCAGCUAUCCCUGCAAUUCUUCCUUCUAGGAUCCUUGUAGUCACCCCAUACAACAACAUUUGCUCACUGAUUUUUAUUGUUUGUUUUUGCUUUUUUUAAUCAGGCAGAGUCCAAUUUCCUGACACUUCUCAUUUGAUUUCCUAGUACAUAAAAGAGACACCUUCUCAGGACAACAACCAUACUCAGCUUAACAAUCCACAAUAAAGCCAGGUCAAAGUUAAAAUGGAAAGAAAUAGAGAGAAAGAAAAAAUAAGAAGAGGCAGCAAGCACACUGUAGCUGAUGGAAUAUCAAAGAAGA